rnacentral:rRNA from 1 species
UACGUAGGGGGCAAGCGUUAUCCGGAUUUACUGGGUGUAAAGGGGGCGCAGACGGCGAUGCAAGCCAGGAGUGAAAGCCCGGGGCCCAACCCCGGGACUGCUCUUGGAACUGCGUGGCUGGAGUGCAGGAGGGGCAGGCGGAAUUCCAGGUGUAGCGGUGAAAUGCGUAGAUAUCAGGAGGAACACCGGUGGCGAAGGCGGCCUGCUGGACUGCAACUGACGUUGAGGCCCGAAAGCGUGGGGAGCAAACAGG